UAAUACGAACUGUGCGAACGUUAUUCGGAAUCACUGGGCUUAAAGGGUGCGUAGGCGGCGCUGUAAGUCAGGUGUGAAAUCCCCCGGCUCAACCGGGGAAUGGCGCUUGAAACUGCAGUGCUUGAGUGAGGUAGGGGUGCAUGGAACUUCCGGUGGAGCGGUGAAAUGUGUAGAUAUCGGAAGGAACGCCGGCGGCGAAAGCGGUGCACUGGGCCUUGUCUGACGCUGAGGCACGAAAGCUAGGGUAGCGAACGGG
rnacentral:rRNA from 1 species